GUGGGAGUGGUGAGGUCUGGGAGAUCAUGACCUUAAUUGUCUCCAAGACAGACGGUUUAAUUAACACUGGAGGAAUCCUCCCUGGUUCCAGACCCCUACAAUGGGAAUGUACAGGGGAAUUGGAUUGCCAAGAUACAUUAUUUCCAACCCUACACUACCCAUGGCUGUGCAGCUAUAACCACCGAUGAUGAAGGACCAAUGUAGAUACAAUGCCCCCUUCUACAAAGUCCACAUUGCGAGAAGACCACCUCACAGGAAUUUUCCCCUUCACCAGGU